GACGGAGGGUGCUAGCGUUGUUCGGAAUGACUGGGCGUAAAGGGCGCGUAGGCGGCUCGUGAAGUCGGGUGUGAAAGCCCGGGGCUCAACCCCGGAACGGCAUCCGAUACUGGCGGGCUUGAGACCGGGAGAGGGAUGCAGAAUUCCAGGUGUAGCGGUGAAAUGCGUAGAUAUCUGGAGGAAUACCGGUGGCGAAGGCGGCCUUCUGGACAGUGACUGACGCUGAGACGCGAAAGCGUGGGGAGCAAACAGG
rnacentral:rRNA from 1 species